GGCCUGGUGGUGUACUGGUAACACAUCUUUCUUUGGUAUGUCAGUGGAGUCACCAAUAUAUUAAGAAGAAGCAUCCUGUUCGAUUCGGGGUCAGGCCA